GGGUUCAGGUUGUAUCUUUUGCGUGAAAGAGUGAUUUAGUAUCUUUCGUUGGAUCAGAUUACUUUGAGGUCUACACAAAAGAUGAAAGAGUUUGGAAUGCUUUGAUAUCCAUUCAAGAUGCGAUCUAAUGGUUGACUUUGCAAAAGAAAAUUAACCAUUCUUUCGCACGAAAGAUGCAACCUGAACUCCCAUAGUUGGACCAA
rnacentral:lncRNA from 1 species